GGAUCCUUAGUGUAGUGGUAACACACCCGGCAAGAUUGAGGUUGAGCCACUUGCAUUAUUUCUGCGGGAGAUCGCCUGUUCAAUUCAGGCAGGAUCCG